GGGAAUAUUGCACAAUGGGGGAAACCCUGAUGCAGCGACGCCGCGUGAGUGAAGAAGCGUUUCGGCGCGUAAAGCUCUGUCAGCGGGGAAGAAACACGGUUCGCGAGAGCCGCGGACGGUACCUGACUAAGAAGCCCCGGCUAACUACGUGCCAGCAGCCGCGGUAAUACGUAGGGGGCAAGCGUUAUCCGGAUUUACUGGGUGUAAAGGGAGCGUAGACGGCAGCGCAAGUCUGGAGUGAAAUGCCGGGGCCCAACCCCGGAACUGCUUUGGAAACUGUGCAGCUCGAGUGCAGGAGAGGUAAGCGGAAUUCCUAGUGUAGCGGUGAAAUGCGUAGAUAUUAGGAGGAACACCAGUGGCGAAGGCGGCUUACUGGACUGUAACUGACGUUGAGGCUCGAAAGCGUGGGGAGCAAACAG
rnacentral:rRNA from 1 species